rnacentral:lncRNA from 1 species
AAUAUACUCAAUAACUAAAAAAUCUGUAUGUUUCCUCCUGACCUAUAGAGUGAGGACUAUCAUGGUAGGAAGAAAGUGGAAUCCGUGGAGCUACCCUACCGAAAUGGCGGAUCAAAGCACCCUGUUUAUCGUGGAAUCACAGAGAUUAGAACUAAUAAAGCCUCGAAAGAGGCAAAGAGGAUAAUCUUCACUAUACUCCCAUUUACAUUACUUGUUUGUCUUACGUAGAAGACAGAUCAUGGAGCAUAGUAGCGGACUCUCGUAAACCAAGUCAGGUAGAGGCUACAUUUAGUUCCAGACAGACUUUUCGACAUUGUAGAUCAAUACAUACCCUGGCACUUAGUAUGCAACUGUUCAUCUGAGAAAUGAUUUUAUUUCUACAAGGAAACACCACCAUCAAGUAACUUUCAUGUGGAAAAGAGAGUUUUCUCUAUCUUGCUACAGAAUUACAUCAGUUAUCCAGAGUCAUGUCAUGUUUUUACUCUAAAAGGCAUGCAUUUCUCAAUAUGGUGGCAAAGAGAAAUGUCUUGGAACCCGUUCCAGAGACAAAGGAGAAAAAAUGGAUCUCAGAGGCUUUUUCCAGUUGGACUCCGCAGGCCCCUGUGGGCUGAGCACCUUGCUCUUGGACAGAUGCCCCCUGAGUCGCAACUCUGCCGUCAUGAGAUGUGUUCUAUGAUCUUGCAAGCCUCUUCAAAUGAGCUUUCCUACCCUGAUGAACAGCACUGACCAGGAAUUAAGAGAAUUCUUCUGUUUGUGUUUCUCAGCCUUUGUUUCUUCCUCUAGGAAAUAGGACCUCUGGGGGGAGCGGGGGGAGGGGGUUGGUCAAGUGCUAGGUGGUCCCUUGACCCUUUGUUUGGAGCAAGAACCAUUUCUCUUCAUCCAAAAUGAUGUGAUCCCAAUCAGGGAGACCAGUGAGAAGCCUCCACUGUCACGGAAAUUUCCUGGGCCUCAGUAUCUCUAUAGGAACACCAAGACCCAUUUCAGAGUCAUCCUUGAGGCCUUCACUUGUCUAAAACCUCAGCCUCUUGAGGCCCAGGCCAAGUGUCCUGUUCCAUGUCGUUUCGUCCUGUGUUUCACUUCCCGGAGCCUGUGGUUCUUAGAAUUGAUAAUAAAUGAAUUCCCAUUUAAUUCUAUUCCAAUUGUUUCCUCUGUGUUAAUUUGAGUUAAUUUGACCUCAGUUAAUUGGACCACCUCAGUUAACUGGUAGAUUGUGAGCUCCGUGGGGAAAGUUCUGGAAUCAUCUCUUGACAUCCCAGGUUUUCAGAUGCUAUGAAUUCAACACAAUAAUGAAAAUAAUAAAGACAAUAAUGACAACAAUAUCAAUGAUUAUAAUUUAGUGACAGAUAUUAUUUCCCAGGCAUUCUGUUGAACUCUUUAUGGUCUCUCAUUUAACAACCCAAUAAGGUAGAUACUACAAAGCUCAAUUUACAGAUGAGGAAACCAAGGUUCAAAGAUUAAGUAGCUUGCUGGAGCCCAGCUAUCAAUCAGAAGCUGGGAUUUUCACCCUUGCAGGCUGGACUCCAAAACUGUUUGCAUUACUGGCUGAUGGGUGGGGUCCGAGUGCUUCCCUCCCCCACCAAGUCCGCCAUCCUUCUUUGUGGUCGCGGCAUGAACGAGACACCAAAGUGACAUGCAGGGCCAAAUUUUAUUAAGACACACUACACAUAUCAUUUCCUGUUUCAUUACUGAAAGUCCCAUCAUCAAGGAUAAUCUCAUAGGAUUUCUAAUCCAAUAACACCCAUUUCACAAAACAAACCCAUUUUCGAGAUGGAAGGAGAGUCUUCUUGGUUUUGUUUUGAACAGUCUUCAUGACAAUGCCAGACAAUAGAUAAAAAGGUGUCUAGGGACCUGGAAUGAGCAGUCAUUCUUCCCUAAAUGGCAUCCUGGUCAGUCCCCUCCAACUCUCUACCCUCAUACUUCUCUCUAGCCACCAAUAGCCAAUAAGCAAAGGGGCCUGGAGACAGGUGAGUGGGGCAGAGGCUGAGCCUACCUCUGAACCUUCACCCUCCUCUGCCUCGAACUCUCACCUACAUAGGCCAAUGCCACUAUAAACAGUGAGGUUCAGUCCCUCUGCCAGGCAUCUGGAGGUGAGGGCAGGAAGAUACAAUUUCCUUUAAGGUUUCCUUUCCUUAUUUCAGACUCUCCUCCCCCUCCCCCUCCCCACCCUAUUGGCACGCGUGUGCACACACACACACACACACACACACAUAUGCAUUUUAAGAAGUAAUCAUCUCCCUGUAAGUCUCAGUAUCCAAUUCUGAGCAUCCUUUACCUUCAUCCAAAAUGGCAACCACCCAUUAUGGAUGGACUGAACAGAGAAACCAGGCCAGUCCCUGGGAAGGCAGGGCUUUUUCACAGUCUGCAGUCCCCACUGCUUUCUGGCAGUCUCAUUAGGAGCACCAGGGAGACAUAGGAAUUUGUGUGCUCUUAAAUGAGGCCCCUGCCAAGAGAGCUGGAGAUUCCCUUACUGCUUCCAUGCCCCUGCUAAGCCCUCCAGGGAGAGAGAGAUCUGGGGGCUCCAUAGCUGUCAUCACACCUCCUCUUGGCACUCUAAGUUGGCAGUCAGCAAGGGAAAUAAAUAGGAGGGAAAAAUAGUUUUCCAGUAUUUUCUCUCUUUUUUUUUUUUCACUUUUAUCUUCACAGCAGAAUUAUUUUUUCCCAACGGGAAUCUGAGAAGCACAAUGCCAUCUUUGUUUUAAUAAGACCUAGGGAAAUUCCACUGGCCUUUGUGGCUGGUGAUCUGGUCAGGAUCUGAGAGAGGACGACGGCUUCUUGGGCAUUCUGGUCGAUAAGGUCUUUAGGGGAGCACUGAGUGAACAACCAAGGAAGGGAGGGAUGGGAUGGUUUCUAUCAUCAGGUUGAGCUGUAAAAGAGCCGCAGGAUGACAGGUGGUGGCAGGGAUUCCAGUGGGGCCUGUGUACACAGUCGCUCCCUAGGGGAGUGUGCACCCCCAUGGGCUAGUUAGUUGUCACCCUGGCAGAAGUAAAGUUUGCAGCAUCACCAAGUGGGACAUUUGCCAGAGGUACAUACCAAAGCACUUGUAAAGUUGAGGUUGCUGGUCAAGUUCCAAGGGCCUCUUUUUAAGUAAGACUGGAUAGAGGGAGGGCAGCCAAGGGCAGCCCAAGGCCACCUCAUUGUCACUCCAAGGUUUGACCCACAGAGACAACAGAUUCAAGAGCGCAUCUAAUGUAAGGUCCUUGAUUCAUGCUCUUUAUUGGCUAGGAACGUUGGGCUCUUUCUUGCAGGAAGAAGGGUGAUCGGGUCAAGGAAGCCAUAAGA